AGGAGGAACAACCCCAGUGGUAGCGGCCAGCUCUGGAAACCUGUAUUCAGCCCCCGCAGUAACUCAGGAGCAGUCCCUCUGCAGGUCCUGGAGGCUCUGGGGCAGG
rfam:Canis lupus familiaris chromosome 1, whole genome shotgun sequence.